GGUGCUCAUACCAAGCUGGAAAUACCCGUUCCCUUUCCGAACACGGCAGUCAAGCAGCUUGGGCCGAUGAUAGUACAUUGUGC
rnacentral:rRNA from 1 species